rnacentral:lncRNA from 1 species
ACUGGAAAUACCUCAACUUCAGCUGGGAUCUCCAAAAUAUGAGCUCCGGCUCUAGCACAGGCCUUAGCUCCAGCUAAUCGAAUGUAAAUAUCCCAACUCCGACCAGAACCUCCAAAUCCUAACAUAAGGUGGAGACUUCCCAGUCUUGGUGGGAACAUCUAAAAUACGAGCUUAGAAAUAUACCAACCUCAAAUACGAG